GAUGAACGCUAGCGGCAGGCCUAAUACAUGCAAGUCGGACGGGAUUGAGGAGCUUGCUUCUCAUGAGAGUGGCGCACGGGUGCGUAACACGUAUGUAACCUACCUUAAUCAGGGGGAUAGCCUCUCGAAAGAGAGAUUAACACCGCAUAACAUUAUUGGAUAGCAUUAUUUAAUAAUCAAAUAUUUAUAGGAUUAAGAUGGGCAUGCGGAACAUUAGCUAGUUGGUAAGGUAACGGCUUACCAAGGCUACGAUGUUUAGGGGAUCUGAGAGGAUGACCCCCCACACUGGUACUGAGACACGGACCAGACUCCUACGGGAGGCAGCAGUAAGGAAUAUUGGUCAAUGGGCGCAAGCCUGAACCAGCCAUGCCGCGUGCAGGAAGACGGCCCUACGGGUUGUAAACUGCUUUUGUACCGGAAUAAACCCUUUUACGUGUAAGAGGCUGAAUGUACGGUAAGAAUAAGGAUCGGCUAACUCCGUGCCAGCAGCCGCGGUAA
rnacentral:rRNA from 1 species